GUUCAUUCGGGACAUCUGGUAAAAUCGGAACAAUACAGAGAAGAUUAGCAUGGCCUGUACAAAGAUGACACGCACAAAUGGAGAUAUAGUGAGAAGUUGA